GCCCACCAGGUAGGUUAUUGGUGCGCUUGGCGUUC
rnacentral:sRNA from 1 species